rnacentral:rRNA from 1 species
GAUGAACGCUGGCGGCGUGCCUAAUACAUGCAAGUCGAGCGAACAGACGAGGAGCUUGCUCCUCUGACGUUAGCGGCGGACGGGUGAGUAACACGUGGAUAACCUACCUAUAAGACUGGGAUAACUUCGGGAAACCGGAGCUAAUACCGGAUAAUAUAUUGAACCGCAUGGUUCAAUAGUGAAAGACGGUUUUGCUGUCACUUAUAGCUGGAUCCGCGCCGCAUUAGCUAGUUGGUAAGGUAACGGCUUACCAAGGCAACGAUGCGUAGCCGACCUGAGAGGGUGAUCGGCCACACUGGAACUGAGACACGGUCCAGACUCCUACGGGAGGCAGCAGUAGGGAAUAUUCGGCAAUGGGCGAAAGCCUGACGGAGCAACGCCGCGUGAGUGAUGAAGGUCUUCGGAUCGUAAAACUCUGUUAUUAGGGAAGAACAAAUGUGUAAUUAACUAUGCACGUCUUGACGGUACCUAAUGAGAAAGCCACGGCUAACUACGUG